CUAGGAUUCCCGUAGUAACGGCGAGUGAACGUGGAAAAGCCCAGCGCUGAAUCUCUGCAUCCUUUGGGUGCAGGGAACUGUAGCGUAUAGAAGUGGAAUUCCUGGGUCGAAGUCGACUUAAAUUCCCCAUGACUGGGGUUCCAGAGAAGGUGAUAGGCCUGUCCAGUCGGCUUUGGCUAGGGAUUCCUGCUUCYUGGAGUCGGGUUGUUUGGGAUCGCAGCCCAAAUUCGGUGAUAAACUUCAUCUAAGGCUAAAUAAGAUCGCGAAACCGAUAGCAAACAAGUACCGUGAGGGAAAGUUGCAAAGUACUUUGAAGAGAGAGUUCAAAAGGRCGUGAAACCGAUAAGGYGGAAACGGAUAGAGCCAACGUAUCUAGCCUGUAUUCAGCCGAUUGAUUGCGUAUAAUCUGYGGAGGGUCUCUUCGAUGAAGGAUCCUUAUGGGUUGAAUAUGUAUAAGGUCGGUGCAUUUGCAGGUGGAGUGCGCUAAGGCGUAUAGUUUAGAGUUGCWGGAAUCGGUGCAUUGAGGCCUUUGUCUUCGGAUAAAGAAACCUAUGUGCCGAGGAUGGUAAUUUCAACUAUGCGWAUCGGAAAGGUCUCGGUGAAUUCGCACAAAACUCUGGCUGGGCCCCUCGCUUGGUUUGUCGCAUGCGACAUAGCCAUGACGUUGGUUCUCAGUUUGGGGGUGGAGUGAUCCGGACUAAUCUUUGGCGUAAAAGUUGGUAAUCUCUCCGACCCGUCUUGAAACACGGACCAAGGAGUCUAGCGUAUGCGCAAGUCAUUGGGUGUUGAAACCCAAARGCGCAAUGAAAAUGAAGGCACAAUAUUGUGCUUAUAUGCGAUCCGGUGGCCCACGGACCGCCGGAGCAGCAUAGCCCUAUCCUAACUGCAUGCAGUAGGGUGGCGGUAGAGCGUAUUCGCUGGGACCCGAAAGAUGGUGAACUAUGCCUGAGCAGGAUGAAGUCAGAGGAAACUCUGAUGGAAGUCCGAAGCGGUUCUGACGUGCAAAUCGAUCGUCUGACUUGGGUAUAGGGGCGAAAGACUAAUCGAACCAUC
rnacentral:rRNA from 1 species